rnacentral:lncRNA from 1 species
GUACUCCUUGGCUGCAGAACAGAAAGCUUAUCUAUAUCCUUUAUCCACACCAAUCACCUUGUCUGUUGUUUGAACAUGGAAGACCAAUCCCAGCAUUUGCUUACCUGUCAAGAAGUGAUGGCAUUGGCUCUUUAAUAAACAAUACUGAAAGUGACCCAAACUCCCUGUACCACCACUGGAUGACCUUGGCAUUUCACAUGCAAAUAUCAGAAGGGAAACAACAGGAAGAUACAACAACCUCAGCAAAUUCAUUGAUUCCUGUCCACCCCCUCCCCACUUGGAAAACAAAAAUGAAAAACCAGGUAAUUUGUAAAGCGAAAAAGUGCCAAGUUUAUUGAAUGAAUUCUUCACAAUUUCACUUUCAAGCAAUGGACUACUUGCUGAUGGCAGAGUGGAAAUCAGAGCUAGAGCUUUUCUGUGAUAAUCCUGAAUAUACUAAAGAAGAGAUGACAUUAAGACCUACUACAUUCAGAUAAAAACACUGGCAUCUCAAUAAGCAGGUAGACACAAUGACUCCUGUCAAACGGUGCCAGUGGUAUCAUCUGUCUUCUGUUACAAUCAAGGCAAGAAGACUUGAUGUUCUCCUCAUUUAGACACAUGUAUUCUAUCGUGUUACAGAUGCAUCUGGG